rnacentral:rRNA from 1 species
UACGGGAGGCAGCAGGGGGAAUAUUGCACAAUGGGCGCAAGCCUGAUGCAGCCAUGCCGCGUGUAUGAAGAAGGCCUUCGGGUUGUAAAGUACUUUCAGUCGUGAGGAAGGUGUUAAGGUUAAUAACCUUAGCAAUUGACGUUAGCGACAGAAGAAGCACCGGCUAACUCCGUGCCAGCAGCCGCGGUAAUACGGAGGGUGCGAGCGUUAAUCGGAAUUACUGGGCGUAAAGGGCACGCAGGCGGUUAAUUAAGUUGGAUGUGAAAUCCCCGGGCUUAACCUGGGAAUGGCAUUCAAGACUGGUUAGCUAGAGUCUUGUAGAGGGGGUAGAAUUCCAUGUGUAGCGGUGAAAUGCGUAGAGAUGUGGAGGAAUACCGGUGGCGAAGGCGGCCCCUGGACAAAGACUGACGCUCAUGUGCGAAAGCUGGGGAGCAAACAGGGAUUAGAUACC